rnacentral:rRNA from 1 species
UAGACUCAGAUAGCCAUGCAUGUCUAAGUAUAAAUGAUAUACAGUGAAACUGCGAAUGGCUCAUUAAAACAGUUAUAGUUUAUUUGGUAAUCGAAUUUACAUGGAUAACCGUGGUAAUUCUAGAGCUAAUACAUGCUGUAAAGCCCGACUUCACGGAAGGGCCGUAUUUAUUAGAUAACAGACCAAUAUUCCUCGUGUCUAUUGUGGUGAAUCAUAGUAACUAAUCGGAUCGCAUGGGCUAGUCCCGCGACAAACCAUUCAAGUUUCUGCCCCAUCAGCUUUCGAUGGUAGUGUAUUGGACUACCAUGGCUUUUACGGGUAACGGAGGAUUAGGGUUCGAUUCCGGAGAGGGAGCCUGAGAAACGGCUACCACAUCUAAGGAAGGCAGCAGGCGCGUAAAUUACCCAAUCCUAAUUCAGGGAGGUAGUGACAAGAAAUAACGGGUCGGGGCUAUGCCCCGGGACUGCAAUGAGAUGAAUUUACACCCCUUUUCGAGUAAC